GACGAACGCUGGCGGCGUGCUUAACACAUGCAAGUCGAACGAAGUGGCGAACGGGUGAGUAAUACGUGGGUAACCUGCCCUCCUUUUUGGGAUAAGCCUUGGAAACGGGGUCUAAUACCGAAUAAAGGGGGAUGGGCUGGCGGCCUAUCAGCUUGUUGGUGGGGUGAUGGCCUACCAAGGCGGUGACGGGUAGCCGGACUGAGAGGUUGAUCGGCCGCAUUGGGACGGAGGGACGGACCGGACACCUACGGGAGGCAGCAGUGGGGAAUAUUGAGCAAUGGGGGCAAGCCUGACCCAGCAACGCCGCGUGAAGGAAGACGGUCUUCGGAUUGAAAACUUCUUUAGACAGGGACGUUACCCGCAGAAGAAGCACCGGCUAACUCCUUGCCAGCAGCCGCGUAAUAC
rnacentral:rRNA from 1 species